rnacentral:rRNA from 1 species
GACGAACGCUGGCGGCGUGCCUAAUACAUGCAAGUCGAACGCAGUGGGGACGGGUGAGUAACACGUGGGUAACCUCCCAUCAGAGGGGAUAACACUUGGAAACAGGUGCUAAACCGAUACUGAUGGAUGAACCCGCGGUGCAUUAGCUAGUUGGUGAGGUAACGGCGCACCAAGGCCACGAUGCAUAGCGGACCGAGUAGGGGGAUAGGCCAGAAUGGUACUGAGACACGGCCAAGAUUCAUACGGGAGGCAGCAGUAGGGAAUCUUCGGACAUGGACGAAAGUCUGACCGAGCAACGCCGCGUGAGUGAAGAAGGUUUUCGGAGCGGAAAACUCUGUUGUUAGAGAAGCGGUAUCUAACCAGAAAGCCACGGAUAACUACGUGCCAGCAGCCGCGGUAAUUC